rfam:Oryza glumipatula chromosome 5, whole genome shotgun sequence.
AAUAAGCACAAUCAUAAGUUUCUUUAUUAAACUUUAAUCAUCCGUCUUAUUUAAAUUAUUCUAUAGUUAGUAUUUUUAUUGUUAUUAAAUUGUAAAACAUUAAUAUUACUUUAUCCAUGACUUAUGUUUUUUUUUAAAAAAAUAAAUAAGACGAACUAUUAAAGUUAUACAUGAAAACUCAUCACUAUGUUUAUU